UACGUAGGGACCAAGCGUUGUUCGGAUUUACUGGGCGUAAAGGGCGCGUAGGCGGCGUGACAAGUCACUUGUGAAAUCUCUGGGCUUAACCCAGAACGGCCAAGUGAAACUGUCGUGCUAGAGUGCGGAAGGGGCAAUCGGAAUUCUCGGUGUAGCGGUGAAAUGCGUAGAUAUCGAGAGGAACACCUGAGGUGAAGACGGGUUGCUGGGCCGACACUGACGCUGAGUGCGCGAAAGCCAGGGGAGCGAACGGG
rnacentral:rRNA from 1 species